UGUAAGCGUAUACCAAAGUUGUUGCAGUUAAAACGCUCGUAGUCGGAAUUUGGCAGUUCCGGAUGUGUGCACGUCGUGUGCGCACUUCGCGGGGAUUGCUUUUGUGUUCUUGCGUAGGAUGAGGCACUUUUAUUAGUGAACGUCCUCACGCAACCACUUUUUACUGUGAGAAAAUCAGAGUGCUCAAAGCAGGCAUUUGCCGUGAAUGUAUUAGCAUGGAAUAAUAGAAUAGGACUUGGUUCUAUUUUGUUGGUUUGUUGGGACUGAGUAAUGAUUAAGAGGGACAGUUGGGGGCAUUUGUAUUUCGGUGCUAGAGGUGAAAUUCUUAGAUUACCGAAAGACAAACUGCUGCGAAAGCGUCUGCCAAGGAUGUUUUCAUUGA
rnacentral:rRNA from 1 species